ensembl:misc_RNA Y_RNA Y RNA
GGCUGGUCCGAAGGUAGUGAGUUACCUCAAUUGAUUGUUCACAGUCAGUUACAGAUCGAACUCCUUGUUCUACCCCUUCCCCGCUUCUCACUACUGCACUUGACUAGUCUUAA